rnacentral:rRNA from 1 species
CCUACGGGAGGCAGCAGUAGGGAAUCUUCCGCAAUGGACGAAAGUCUGACGGAGCAACGCCGCGUGAACGAUGAAGGCCUUCGGGUCGUAAAGUUCUGUUGUUAGGGAAGAACAAGUGCUAGUUGAAUAAGCUGGCACCUUGACGGUACCUAACCAGAAAGCCACGGCUAACUACGUGCCAGCAGCCGCGGUAAUACGUAGGUGGCAAGCGUUGUCCGGAAUUAUUGGGCGUAAAGCGCGCGCAGGCGGUUUCUUAAGUCUGAUGUGAAAGCCCCCGGCUCAACCGGGGAGGGUCAUUGGAAACUGGGAAACUUGAGUGCAGAAGAGGAAAGUGGAAUUCCAAGUGUAGCGGUGAAAUGCGUAGAGAUUUGGAGGAACACCAGUGGCGAAGGCGACUUUCUGGUCUGUAACUGACGCUGAGGCGCGAAAGCGUGGGGAGCAAACAGGAUUAGAUACCCUGGUAGUCCACGCUGUAAACGAUGAGUGCUAAGUGUUAGAGGGUUUCCGCCUUUAGUGCUGAAGUUAACGCAUUAAGCNCNCGCGUGGAGAGUCGNAGANGANACANAGAUGNGNGNGAGAGNGCGAGACGACGACGAGGAGAG